rnacentral:rRNA from 1 species
UAGGGAAUCUUCCACAAUGGACGCAAGCCUGAUGGAGCAACACCGCGUGAGUGAAGAAGGGUUUCGGCUCGUAAAGCUCUGUUGUUAAAGAAGAACACGUAUGAGAGUAACUGUUCAUACGUUGACGGUAUUUAACCAGAAAGUCACGGCUAACUACGUGCCAA